rnacentral:rRNA from 1 species
GACGAACCGUGCAAACGUUGUUCGGAAUCACUGGGCUUAAAGGGCGCGUAGGCGGGCAGGCAAGUCGGAGGUGAAAGCCCACGGCUCAACCGUGGAAGUGCCCCCGAUACUGCCAGUCUUGAGGGAGGUAGGGGCGUGCGGAACUUCCGGUGGAGCGGUGAAAUGCGUAGAUAUCGGGAGGAACACCAGUGGCGAAGGCGACUACCUGGCCUGUUUCUUGACGCUGAGGCGCGAAAGCCAGGGGAGCAAACGGGG